UUCCUGGUGGUCCAGUGGUUAGAACUCCACGCUUUUACUGUUGAUGGCCUGGGUUCAAGCCCUUGUCAGGGAA
rnacentral:tRNA from 1 species